GGUAUCAUAGCUCAAUAGGUUAGAGCCAUCGACUUAUAAUCGGUAGAUUCUGGUUCAAGUCCAGAUGAUACCACCA
rnacentral:tRNA from 1 species